rnacentral:lncRNA from 1 species
CACGAUAUUGAUCCUACUACCGUGUAGUUUUGAUUUUUUAAUAACUUCCAACAUAUUAAAAACACUUAACAAAGUGUCUUAAAAUCCACUCCAAACCCCCCAAUUUGAUAUAUAGUACAAAAGAACAAUUCCUCCAAUCUUCAAACAGUCCAAAAGCACACUCUAAUCAACUACGAUUAGCCCUAAUUAUAUUCAUUAUUCACCUCCCCUCGUGUCUGUGCAUGAACAUUAAGGAACAAACCCUCCUAAUAUUUAGCAUAACCUUGUCCUUCCUGCUCCUUAAUUCCCUCGAGUCUCCCAAAAGUUGGUCUUUUGUCCCACAUCACUCUGUUCCUCUGCAAAACACCAGGUUUCAUGCGAAGUUUCCAAAUUUUAAAAUGUCAGUUUGUCCCCCUUUUGGCCUACCCCACUUUCUCCUCCUCUCUGCAUAUAUAUAGAUAACACAACCCAGUUAUACUGAACCAAAUCCACCAAGAACAGUUAGCGGUUGAAAAAUGAGUGGUGGGUUGUAUUCUGAUUGGAAGAAGAACAGUUCUUUGAUGGAGUACCUGGAGGAAGAUGAGGAUGAGGAUCAGAAGCAAGGCUCUCCAUUGUUGAUGACAGUUGUUCAGCCACAGACGCCUAAUGAGCCCAUGGAGUUCCUUUCGAGAUCAUGGAGCCUCUCUGCUUCGGAGAUCUCAAAAGCUCUUGCUCAGAAGCAGAAGCAAUUCGACAUCAAGCCGUGUUUUCCUCCUCCCCUCUCAGUCGUUCCAGCUGAUCUAGCCAGUCUCAGUACUGUCGGUACUCCACAGCUGGUAAGCUUGCUUUCUUUACCCCUGGAACAAGCUUGAUUAUUAUCGAAAAAGGUAGCAUGAUAUCGUACUAUGUCGAUAUAUAGAUGAAAACAUCCACCAUAACUUGUUCACCCUGUCCCAAUGUCAAGAAUUUUCUCAACU